AGGGUUUGAUCCUGGCUCAGGAUGAACGCUAGCGGUAGGCCUAACACAUGCAAGUCGAACGGUAACAUAAGAGCUUGCUCUUGAUGACGAGUGGCGAACGGGUGCGUAACACGUAUACAAUCUACCUUUAACUGAGGGAUAGCCCAGAGAAAUUUGGAUUAAUACCUCAUAGUAUUAUUUUAAGGCAUCUUAUUAUAAUUAAAACUCCGGUGGUUAAAGAUGAGUAUGCGUUCUAUUAGUUUGUUGGUGAGGUAACGGCUCACCAAGACUACGAUAGAUAGGGGGCCUGAGAGGGUGAUCCCCCACACUGGUACUGAGACACGGACCAGACUCCUACGGGAGGCAGCAGUGAGGAAUAUUGCGCAAUGGAGGAAACUCUGACGCAGCCAUACCGCGUGUAGGAAGAAUGUCCUAUGGAUUGUAAACUACUUUUAUACAAGAAGAAACUUCGGUACGUGUACCGAAUUGACGGUAUUGUACGAAUAAGCACCGGCUAACUCCGUGCCAGCAGCCGCGGUAAUACGGAGGGUGCAAGCGUUAUCCGGAUUUAUUGGGUUUAAAGGGUCCGCAGGCGGGAUUCUAAGUCAGUGGUGAAAGCCUACAGCUCAACUGUAGAACUGCCAUUGAUACUGGAAUCCUUGAGUGUGGUUGAAGUAGACGGAAUAUGUCAUGUAGCGGUGAAAUG
rnacentral:rRNA from 1 species